GUUGUGCAACACAAUGGCACCCUCUGUUAUAGAAAAUGAGAAUGUAGACAUGAAGACAUUUAGUUUUUCAUCCAGCUCUAUUUUCUCAGGUCUACUCAGGUGUUCAAUGUGUUGUUGUUUUUUGAGACAAAUGCCUCUUUUCUGGCCCCUGGGAGGAAAGUUAGGGCUCGUUUUGGGGUCAGGUAAGCUUUCAGUAUCAACAUUUUAGGAAAUACGCUUAUUUGCUUUCUCACCAAGAGUUAGAUGAGAUUGUUACCGCAGAGAUCUGAAGAUGCUCAACUGUCGGAAAAUUUGCUCAGCUGGUCAAAUAAAUCCUCCGUCUAGUGUGUUUAUUCACAAUCCUGACAGCUUGACUCAGAUCAGUUUAAGGAGGGUGAUUCUGGCACAAAUUGAAUGCAUGUGUAUUUUAAAGAAAACAUGGGCACACAGUUUCUUAAUGAUUAAUAGUGUAAUUAAUGUGUUUGUUAAUAUGAUUACUACUGGUUAAUCACUAAGUAUCUGAAACAAGACCCAAGUAUUUUACAUUUGUUGAUUCUUCGAGGUGAAUAAAUAAGUGAAAAAUACUUGUACACUCUCUGCAGUCUGAGGAAGUGUCAGUACCAAGAUUUCUAUUUUAAUAUUGAUGAAUGCUAAUAAACAUAAAUGUAUGGUAA